rnacentral:misc_RNA from 1 species
GAAAAACUAUAUAAUAUAUAUGUGAUUUCAUGUAAGAUAGUCUACAUGAAAUAGCAGUGUUAAUAUUAUACACAUAUGUGAGUGAGUCUCACAAAUUUGUAACCACCAUGCAGCGUUUUUAAACUAAUUUUAAUAACCAUAAUUACUUACAUGAUAACUUUGUAGUGGCUUAACAUUCCAUGUAACUUACUUACAUGUAUUGUUCUUCCACUAUAAAAUUACUCAAUGAUAAGGAGGCUAUUACUUGAUAACUGCAUAGACUUCCAUUAUGUUGUAAGGAUAGGA